AUUGAACGCUGGCGGCAGGCCUAACACAUGCAAGUCGAACGGUAACAGGAAGCAGCUUGCUGCUUUGCUGACGAGUGGCGGACGGGUGAGUAAUGUCUGGGAAACUGCCCGAUGGAGGGGGAUAACUACUGGAAACGGUAGCUAAUACCGCAUAACGUCGCAAGACCAAAGAGGGGGACCUUAGGGCCUCUUGCCAUCGGAUGUGCCCAGAUGGGAUUAGCUAGUAGGUGGGGUAACGGCUCACCUAGGCGACGAUCCCUAACUGGUCUGAGAGGAUGACCAGCCACACUGGAACUGAGACACGGUCCAGACUCCUACGGGAGGCAGCAGUGGGGAAUAUUGCACAAUGGGCGCAAGCCUGAUGCAGCCAUGCCGCGUGUAUGAAGAAGGCCUUCGGGUUGUAAAGUACUUUCAGCGGGGAGGAAGGGAGUAAAGUUAAUACCUUUGCUCAUUGACGUUACCCGCAGAAGAAGCACCGGCUAACUCCGU
rnacentral:rRNA from 1 species